GAUGAAGAACGUAGCGAAAUGCGAUAAGUAGUGUGAAUCGCAGAAUUCAGUGAAUCAUCGAAUCUUUGAACGCACAUUGCGCCCUUUGGUAUUCCAAAGGGCAUGCCUGUUCGAGCGUCAUUUGUACCCUCAAGCUUUGCUUGGUGUUGGGCGUCUUGUCUCUAGCUUUGCUGGAGACUCGCCUUAAAGUAAUUGGCAGCCGGCCUACUGGUUUCGGAGCGCAGCACAAGUCGCACUCUCUAUCAGCAAAGGUCUAGCAUCCAUUAAGCCUUUUUUUCAACUUUUGACCUCGGAUCAGGUAGGGAUACCCGCUGAACUUAAGCAUAUCAAUAAGCGGAGGA
rnacentral:misc_RNA from 1 species